AUUGAACGCUGGCGGCAGGCCUAACACAUGCAAGUCGAGCGGAUGAGGGGAGCUUGCUCCUCGAUUCAGCGGCGGACGGGUGAGUAAUGCCUAGGAAUCUGCCUAGUAGUGGGGGACAACGUUUCGAAAGGAACGCUAAUACCGCAUACGUCCUACGGGAGAAAGUGGGGGAUCUUCGGACCUCACGCUAUUAGAUGAGCCUAGGUCGGAUUAGCUAGUUGGUAGGGUAAAGGCCUACCAAGGCGACGAUCCGUAACUGGUCUGAGAGGAUGAUCAGUCACACUGGAACUGAGACACGGUCCAGACUCCUACGGGAGGCAGCAGUGGGGAAUAUUGGACAAUGGGCGAAAGCCUGAUCCAGCCAUGCCGCGUGUGUGAAGAAGGCCUUCGGGUCGUAAAGCACUUUAAGUUGGGAGGAAGGGCUCAUAGCGAAUACCUGUGAGUUUUGACGUUACCAGCAGAAUAAGCACCGGCUAACUUCGUGCCAGCCGCCGCGGUAA
rnacentral:rRNA from 1 species